rnacentral:tRNA from 1 species
GGUCCUAUGGUGGAUGGUUAGCACUCUGGACUUUGAUUCCAGCGAUCCGAGUUCAAAUCUCGGUAGGACCU